UACGUAGGGUGCAAGCGUUGUCCGGAAUUAUUGGGCGUAAAGAGCUCGUAGGUGGCGGGUCACGUCGGGUGUGAAAGCCCGGGGCUUAACCCCGGGUCUGCAUUCGAUACGGGCAGGCUCGAGUUCGGUAGGGGAGACUGGAAUUCCUGGUGUAGCGGUGAAAUGCGCAGAUAUCAGGAGGAACACCGGUGGCGAAGGCGGGUCUCUGGGCCGAUACUGACGCUGAGGAGCGAAAGCGUGGGGAGCGAACAGG
rnacentral:rRNA from 1 species